GAUGAACGCUGGCGGCGUGCCUAAUACAUGCAAGUCGAGCGAACGGACGAGAAGCUUGCUUCUCUGAUGUUAGCGGCGGACGGGUGAGUAACACGUGGAUAACCUACCUAUAAGACUGGGAUAACUUCGGGAAACCGGAGCUAAUACCGGAUAAUAUUUUGAACCGCAUGGUUCAAAAGUGAAAGACGGUCUUGCUGUCACUUAUAGAUGGAUCCGCGCUGCAUUAGCUAGUUGGUAAGGUAACGGCUUACCAAGGCAACGAUGCAUAGCCGACCUGAGAGGGUGAUCGGCCACACUGGAACUGAGACACGGUCCAGACUCCUACGGGAGACAGCAGUAGGGAAUCUUCCGCAAUGGGCGAAAGCCUGACGGAGCAACGCCGCGUGAGUGAUGAAGGUCUUCGGAUCGUAAAACUCUGUUAUUAGGGAAGAACAUUUGUGUAAGUAACUGUGCACAUCUUGACGGUGCCUAAUCAGAAAGCCAGGGCUAACUACGUG
rnacentral:rRNA from 1 species